rnacentral:rRNA from 1 species
GAUGAACGCUGGCGGCGUGCCUAAUACAUGCAAGUCGAGCGAACGGACGAGAAGCUUGCUUCUCUGAUGUUAGCGGCGGACGGGUGAGUAACACGUGGAUAACCUACCUAUCAGACUGGGAUAACUUCGGGAAACCGGAGCUAAUACCGGAUAAUCUUUUGAACCGCAUGGUUCAAAAGUGAAAGACGGUCUUGCUGUCACUUAUAGAUGGAUCCGCGCUGCAUUAGCUAGUUGGUAAGGUAACGGCUUACCAAGGCAACGAUGCAUAGCCGACCUGAGAGGGUGAUCGGCCACACUGGAACUGAGACACGGUCCAUACUCCUACGGGAGGCAGCAGUAGGGAAUCUUCCGCAAUGGGCGAAAGCCUGACGGAGCAACGCCGCGUGAGUGAUGAAGGUCUUCGGAUCGUAAAACUCUGUUAUUAGGGAAGAACAUAUGUGUAAGUAACUGUGCACAUCUUGACGGUACCUAAUCAGAAAGCCCCGGCUAACUACGUG